rnacentral:rRNA from 1 species
UACGUAGGGCGCAAGCGUUGUCCGGAAUUAUUGGGCGUAAAGGGCGCGUAGGCGGCUUUGCAAGUGACGGGUGAAAGCCCUCGGCUUAACCGAGGAACUGCCUGUCAGACUGUAAGGCUUGAGACCGGGAGAGGUGAGUGGAAUUCCCAGUGUAGCGGUGAAAUGCGUAGAUAUUGGGAGGAACACCAGUGGCGAAGGCGGCUCACUGGACCGGAACUGACGCUGAGGCGCGAAAGCGUGGGGAGCAAACAGG